GUCUCAUUCAGGGCCCUUGUUUCUUUAUUGACCGUGUGUCUAGAUGAUCUAUCCAUUUCUGAUUUGGGUCAUCUCCAGGAUAGUAGCAGGAGAGCUGCAGAAGCUGGCUCCCAGCCUGGGAGCAUGGAUUCCUGUAUACUUGUUCUGCUGGACACAAGUUCUCUCAGUAGCAGACCUACCUCUCUGUCAUCAUCACAUGGCUGCCAAUUCAUCCUUGUAGCCCUUUCAUGAUCCACCCUGGUGGAACAAGGACAAACAAGAGGUGGGGAGAGGUAAAAAUGUAGCCUUUUCUAGAAGAAACGACAACGACAACCCCACCCCCCAGGAUGUUUGGGGGAAUAAAUAUACAUAGUAAGCCUGAAACAUCUUUUCAUACCAGAGAGCAAGAAAGCCAUGCAAGACUUUGGGGAUUGUGUUGAAAAGAUUUAGGAGCCAACUUGAAGGACUCUCACUGGCCAAAGAAGGGUGAUUUGAGAAUCACAAAGAAUAUAAUUGUGAAUAGAUUGAAGUGUA